rnacentral:rRNA from 1 species
AACGUAGGUGGCGAGCGUUAUCCGGAUUUACUGGGCGUAAAGGGUGUGCAGGCGGGGCAGCAAGUGGUGUAUGAAAGCCUUCGGCUCAACCGGGGGCGGUUAUGCCAGACUGCUGAACUAGAGUUCGGGAGAGGGACGUGGAAUUCCGGGUGUAGUGGUGAAAUGCGUAGAGAUCCGGAGGAACCCCAGAGGCGAAGGCGGCGUCCUGGCCCGCAACUGACGCUCAGACACGACAGCAUGGGGAG